GAUGAACGCUGGCGGUAUGCUUAACACAUGCAAGUCGAACGGACUCUUCGGAGUUAGUGGCGGACGGGUGAGUAACGCGUGAGAAUCUGGCUUUGGGUUCGGGACAACCACUGGAAACGGUGGCUAAUACCGGAUGUGCCGAGAGGUAAAAGAGAAAUUGCCUGAAGAUGAGCUCGCGUCUGAUUAGCUAGUUGGUGAGGAAAAGGCUCACCAAGGCAGCGAUCAGUAGCUGGUCUGAGAGGAUGACCAGCCACACUGGGACUGAGACACGGCCCAGACUCCUACGGGAGGCAGCAGUGGGGAAUUUUCCGCAAUGGGCGAAAGCCUGACGGAGCAAUACCGCGUGAGGGAAGAAGGCUCUUGGGUUGUAAACCUCUUUUCUUAGGGAAGAACAAAAUGACGGUACCUAAGGAAUCAGCAUCGGCUAACUCCGU
rnacentral:rRNA from 1 species